CAAGGAUGCUUACAGCGUUCUGUCUUGUGAGAGGGAAGUGGCUUCUCUUCACAGAUAGUUUAAAUACUUGGCCUGCUUACAUAGGCUUUCAUCUGGCAGAUUGUGGUUCAUGUGCUGAACAGCAACAGCGAUUGUUGAGGUCGAAGUACUGCACCUCUCUCACAUUUCCAGAGUACCUGGCAGAGCUGCUCGUUCACCUGGUACUUCUGCAAGAAUACAGUUGGAGCAUGUAAUGUAACGUUACCACUACUCAAGAGGUGAGGUACAAGACUUUAAAAAGGGAGCGCAGAUUACAGCCCAUCUGUUAAGGCAGAGAAUUUAUUUAAGAGAAUAAAUGCGUGAGCUGGAUGACCA
rnacentral:lncRNA from 1 species